AUUGAACGCUGGCGGCAGGCCUAACACAUGCAAGUCGAACGAGUGGCGGACGGGUGAGCUAUGUCUGGGCCUCUGCCUGAUGGAGGGGGAUCAGUACUGGAAACGGAAGCCACUACCGUCUACCAUCGGAUGUGUCGGGAUGGGAUUAGCUAGUAGGUGGGGUAAAGGCUCACCUAGGCGACGAUCCGUAGCUGGUCUGAGAGGAUGAACAGCCACACUGGAACUGAGACACGGUCCAGACUCCUACGGGAGGCAGCAGUGGGGAAUAUUGGACAAUGGGCGAAAGCCUGAUGCAGCCAUGCCGCGUGUAUGAAGAAGGCCUUCGGGUUGUAAAGUACUUUAAGCUGGGAGGCGUUACCCGCAGAAGAAGCACCGGCUAACUCCGUGCCAGCAGCCGCGGUAAUAC
rnacentral:rRNA from 1 species